GACAGAGGGGGCAAGCGUUGCUCGGAAUCACUGGGCGUAAAGGGCGCGUAGGCGGGAUGGCAAGUCGGUCGUGAAAUCCUUCGGCUCAACCGAAGAACGUCGGCCGAUACUGCCGUUCUUGAGGGAUGCAGAGGAGAUUGGAAUUCCCGGUGUAGCGGUGAAAUGCGCAGAUAUCAGGAGGAACACCGAUGGCGAAGGCAGGUCUCUGGGCAUUAACUGACGCUGAGGAGCGAAAGCAUGGGGAGCGAACAGG
rnacentral:rRNA from 1 species